GAUGAACGCUGGCGGCGUGCCUAAUACAUGCAAGUCGAGCGAACAGACGAGGAGCUUGCUCCUCUGACGUUAGCGGCGGACGGGUGAGUAACACGUGUAUAACCUACCUAUAAGACUGGGAUAACUUCGGGAAACCGGAGCUAAUACCGGAUAAUAUAUUGAACCGCAUGGUUCAAUAGUGAAAGACGGUUUUGCUGUCACUUAUAGAUGGAUCCGCGCCGCAUUAGCUAGUUGGUAAGGUAACGGCUUACCAAGGCAACGAUGCGUAGCCGACCUGGGAGGGUGAUCGGCCGCCCUGGAACUGGGACACGGUCCAGACUCCUGCGGGAGGGAGCAGUAGGGAAUCUUACGCAAUGGGCGAAAGCCUGACGGAGCAACGCCAAGUGAGAGAUGAAGGUCUUCGGAUCGUAAAACUCUGUUAUUAGGGAAGAACAAAUGUGUAAGUAAAUGAGCACGUAUUGACGGUACCUAAUAAGAAAGCAACGGCUAACUACGUG
rnacentral:rRNA from 1 species